AUUAGCGAGGGAAAGAUCAUUUUUUCAAACUGUAUUUUAUUUUAUUACUGUUUAAAAUUGAAGUAUAGUUGAUUUAUAGGAUGUUAGUUUCAGGUGUACAUCAAAGUGAUUCAGUCAUAUAUAUAUUCUUUUUCAGAUUCUUUUCCCUUAUAGGUUAUUACAAACUACUGAGUAGAGUUCCCUGUGCUCUACAGUAGUUCCUUGUUGGUUAUCUAUUUUAUACGUAGUAGUAUGUGUAUGUUAAUCCCAAACUCCUAAUUUAUCCCUUCCCCCCUUCCAAACUGUAUUUUAAAAUUCAUUUUCUUUAUCACACGUGUGCGUGUAUAUGUGUGUUCCUAAGUACCUUUAAAAAUUUUUCUCCAUACAAUUGCCGCAUGUUUCACGUUUAAGAAGAAAUGUCUCCUGUUUGACAUCUCCUUCCCUGUCUUCUCCAGCUCACCACAAACAACUUCUUUAAAAAUUCAAGAUGGAAAGGAGGUUUGAUCUUUAGUUGGACCUGAUACUGGCAUUUUACAUGUGAUGCCGAAAUAAAGGAAUGCUGUGAUCUAUCUUAGAUUGGUUGACUCUAUAAAAGCAGGAUCACAUAAUUUGUAAUUUCAAACUCGCUUAACUUUAAAAUCACAUUGAAUCCAUGCAUAUGGAAUGAUUUUUUCAAAACAUUGGCUUCUACUUUGUCCAUAAUCCAGGAGAAAGAAAAAUAAGAGGAAGUGAAGGGGCAUGUGGGAUCUCAGCUCCUUGAGCAGGGAUCGAACCUGCACCUCCUGCAUUGGAAGGCGAAGUCUUAACCACUGGACUGCCAGGGAAGUUCCUCAAAUAAAUGUUAUUUAUUUACACCUUGCUCCCAGAAGGACUAUAGAUGGAAUAGCUCUGCUAGAGAUUCCAUGAUCUAAAUGGUCACUUAUGAAACUUAAUAAAAAGGAGAAUUGAAUAUAAGAAUACCAGAUUCCAGCUGAGUAUUUACUUACAAUAAUAAAAUUAUCUCUCUUUUAUAGAAGAUUCACUGAGUAGUAGGAACUAGCAGUGAUUGAUGCUUUUACAUCUUUGCCACAGUUAAAUGAGCACAUUUAAUUUUGGAACGCAGCUUCUUAAACAUUUUAUAUCCUUCCCACCCCAAGUACCUUGGCAGAUUUAACUUGGGCUAAAGUUGAACUCCCCUCAGUUGGAGCCUGGGGUUACGUGACCACAAUCGAAUUCCUAAAGAAAUGGAAAGUUUCCCAUGGGAAGCAUCUGUCUAAGUUAUUCUUUCCCCCGUGACCAUUGUUUAGACUAGGUUUAGAAGAACUAUAGACUGCUUCAAAUCAAUUCCAAUGCCAGAGACCAAAGAAAGCAUUAGAUCUUUGAACAAAAAUGUAAUAAUCAGAUAAAAAUGCAGUCAACCUUGUGCUUGUUUCAUCGUGGUCACAAAAAUGUCACCACAGCUCCAGACAUCAAAUCUGUGUUUAAGGCAGGAGGAAGGAGAGAGGAGUCAACUCUCUUCUUUUACUUUAUUAGGAUCUACACUAUCUUUUCUACCAUCCCUCUUGCAAACUUUCCUUGACAUUUUAUUGGUCAGAACUGGGUCACAUGGUUUUCCCCUCGCCUACAAAUAUCUCUGGGAAAGUGAGUAUUGACUUUUCAUUCUCUGUAGCAGGGGUCAGCAAACUUGAAGACUGAGACAGUAAAUAUGUUAAGCUUUGCAGGUCAUUUGGUCACAACUACUCACCUCUGCCAUGUGAUGCAAAAGCAGCCAUAGAUAAUGUGUACAUGAAUUAAUGUGACUGUGUUCCAAUACAACUUUAGUUGUGAACAAUGAAUUUUGAAUUUCAUGUCAUAUUCAUGAAGUAUUAUUCUUCUUUUGAUCUUCCUUCCACCAUUUAGAAGUGUGGAAAUCAUCCUUGGCUCCCGGGCUCUACAAACACAGAACCCCAUUGCUCUGUGUGAGAGGAGGGUGUGAAUGGCUUUGGAAGGCCCACCAUGCGUUGCAGCAAAUAGGCCCUGUACCCUGAAUACAGAUUAUUGAAAAGUGCUGACAUGUUCAGUCUAUGAAGCAGACAUUAAUUUUCCUGAGAGCAACAAAAGACACCUGCUUCCCAGUCAUGUUCCUUGUCAUGAACAAAGUGAAGUUUACCAGAUACAUUUAACUCAGGAAAUCUGUACUGCUGAUUUCCUGGAUCAGGAAGCCUUAUAUAUUUUACAUAUUUUGUUUCAAGUUGCCCUGUAGUGACUGCAAAACUGGAUCAGACUCUACAUGAGAAAACUCUAGAACAGUCUAGAACUGUAACCAGAAAAUUAUUGACACUAUAACAAAAGCAUUUGCAUAAUCCCUCAAAGGUCUGUUUGCAUCAACUUCAUAAAAAUUCAGAGGCAAAAUUACCCUAGAUACUAGUUAAAACAGGAGAGUGA